AUGGGCCUGGGUAAGGCAGGCAGGGGAGCCAUGACCCAGCUACCCAGACCUACCGCAAGCUGGCCUGGAAAAAAGCUCCAAAAAGAGAAGCUUUAUGGCCAUCUCUCUCCAGCCCCACUUCCACCUGCAUAUCAAGAUAAUCAUACCCACUAUUCCUCCCCUUCUCUUACUCUGCUAGUCACCCCAGGGAUUAAGGAAUGCCCUGGGCAUCCCGAAAUGCAGCUGAAGUCGUAAGGGGGUAUGGGUGAGACAGCACAGCCUGUACUCAGAGACAUAAUUUCUAUCCCAUCUUGCCUGAUGAAGCUUAGAACCCAGCUAUAUAUAUAUCUCCAAGGAAACCGGGUGUUGGGGGGAGUGGCGGGCAGGAUUUCUUCAAAAUUAAUACUCGAAGUCCAGAGUUUUACAGUGAGACCCUAGAUGGGCUGGGAGCAAAGUUCUCCACAGGGCACAGUCAUUGAUGCUGGACUGUCACAUCCAUCACUGGAAUAGAGGAAGCUCCUCAUCUCAGAUGGGUUAUGGAGGACUGGGGCAGACUUCAGUUCAGCCAAGGACUCCCUUAGCCUUUCCUAUAUUAAAGCCAAAGGUUGUGCUGAGAAGGAAAAAUAUAAGACAGACCCCAUCCCCGUCCCACCCUAUCCAAAAAUCCCCACAAUAGGAACAGCAAAAGAAAAGUUUUAAGUUUUGUAAAUUUUUUUUUCUUUUUCCUUUCUUAAAAAAAAAAAAAGUAAAUAAAUUAAAUUGCCAACAAUGUGGCUGGGCUGGAAAAGUGGGGUAGCCAUAAUCAGGCCAUUCUUAAAAAAGAAAAACUGUGAGGGAGGGAGUAAAAUAUAAACAAACAAUGGCCAAAGAAAAUUAUCAAAAUAACUAGUUACAAUCACAGGGCUGAGAGAGAGGGGUCUAUGGAACUAUUAUGGCCUGUGCCAGAGGCAGUGCCUACCCAAUUUCAGCAAAAGCCAGAGAGCUGCUUCCUGCUGAGCAUAUUCACCCCAAUGGACUAACCCCUCACCCCAACCCUGUCAUUCCCUAAUCGUGAGAAAGUGUAGGAAAGAAGAGCUCAUCUGGAAAUUUUCGGCAUCCCCACCUGCACACCUGCAGACCCGGCGGGAGCCCACACCUUUAAGGUGGGCUGAACAGGGUAUUGCUUGGCACAGAGGUCCAGUCUUCCCCUAAGGGCCACCAGCGAUGGCCUACUGGCCUCAUUAUUUCUAGGGUUUUGUUCCAUCCUUACCAUUUCUUUAGCAUGUCUGCUCCCCAGAGCCGCCCUCUAAAUGCUGUUUAGAGAGUCAAUAGGCCUGCCUGCUCUGGAUUCCCUGGUUUUGGAGGAGGGGAACAGUUAGAGAUGCCUCACUCCAUCCUGAUCCUCUAGAGAAAAUGAGUAUCUUUGUGCUUUCUGAAAACAUCUGGAACCAGGACCCUAGGCAGGAAAACAGAAAUAGAGGUGGGGACUUUCCCAACCAGAUGGAAAAUAUACAGACAUUUUAGGGGAAGAAAUUAGGCAAAUGG
rnacentral:lncRNA from 1 species